UACGGGGGGGGCAAGCGUUGUUCGGAAUUACUGGGCGUAAAGGGCUCGUAGGCGGCCAACUAAGUCGGACGUGAAAUCCCCAGGCUCAACCUGGGAACUGCGUCCGAUACUGGAUGGCUUGAAUCCGGGAGAGGGAUGCAGAAUUCCAGGUGUAGCGGUGAAAUGCGUAGAUAUCUAGAGGAACGCCUGUGGCGAAAGCGGAGCACUGGGCCCGUCCUGACGCUAAGACGCGAAAGCGUGGGUAGCAAACGGG
rnacentral:rRNA from 1 species